GACGAACGCUGGCGGCGUGCUUAACACAUGCAAGUCGAACGGAAAGGCCCCUUUGGGGGUACUCGAGUGGCGAACGGGUGAGUAACACGUGAGUAACCUGCCCUUUACUUCGGGAUAACUUCAGGAAACUGGGGCUAAUACCGGAUAGGAAUCCUUGCUGCAUGGUGGGGGUUGGAAAGCUUCGGCGGUUUUGGAUGGACUCGCGGCUUAUCAGCUUGUUGGUGGGGUAGUGGCUUACCAAGGCUUUGACGGGUAGCCGGCCUGAGAGGGCGACCGGCCACAUUGGGACUGAGAUACGGCCCAGACUCCUACGGGAGGCAGAAGUGGGGAAUAUUGAACAAUGGGCGGAAGCCUGAUGCAGAAACGCCGCGUGCGGGAUGACGGCCUUCGGGUUGUAAAACGCUUUCAGCAGGGGCGAAGCUUGUGGUGACGGUACCUGCAGAAGAAGCACCGGCUAACUACGUG
rnacentral:rRNA from 1 species